UUGUUGGUAAGGUAAAAGCUUACCAAGGCUUCGAUCAGUAGCUGGUCUGAGAGGACGACCAGCCACACCGGGACUGAGACACGGCCCAGACUCCUACGGGAGGCAGCAGUGGGGAAUUUUGGACAAUGGGGGCAACCCUGAUCCAGCCAUGCCGCGUGAGCGAAGAAGGCCUUCGGGUUGUAAAGCUCUUUCAGCCGGAACGAAACGGUUACGGAUAACACCCGUGACUACUGACGGUACCGGAAGAAGAAGCACCGGCUAACUACGUGCCAGCAGCCGCGGUAAUACGUAGGGUGCGAGCGUUAAUCGGAAUUACUGGGCGUAAAGCGUGCGCAGGUGGUUUUGUAAGUCAGAUGUGAAAGCCCCGGGCUCAACCUGGGAACUGCGUUUGAAACUACAAGACUAGAGUGUGGCAGAGGGGGGUGGAYUUCCGCGUGUAGCAGUGAAAUGCGUAGAGAUGUGGAGGAACACCGAUGGCGAAGGCAGCCCCCUGGGUCAACACUGACGCUCAGGCACGAAAGCAUGGGGAGCAAACAGGAUUAGAUACCCUGGUAGUCCAUGCCCUAAACGAUGUCAACUAGUUGUCGGGCCUUUACGGGCUUGGUAACGUAGCUAACGCGUGAAGUUGACCGCCUGGGGAGUACGAUCGCAAGAUUAAGACUCAAAUGAAUUGACGGGGACCCGCACAAGCGGUGGAUUAUGUGGAUUAAUUCGAUGCAACGCGAAAAACCUUACCUACCCUUGACAUGUAUCGAAGCCCGCAGAAAAGCGGGGGUGCCCGAAAGGGAACGAUAACACAGGUGCUGCAUGGCUGUCGUCAGCUCGUGUCGUGAGAUGUUGGGUUAAGUCCCGCAACGAGCGCAACCCUUGUCAUUAAUUGCCAUCAUUUAGUUGGGCACUUUAAUGAGACUGCCGG
rnacentral:rRNA from 1 species